rnacentral:rRNA from 1 species
UGAGGAAUAUUGGUCAAUGGACGCAAGUCUGAACCAGCGACGCCGCGUGCGGGAUGAAGGGGCUUAGCCUCGUAAACCGCUGUCAAGAGGGACGAGAGGGCGAUUUUGUCGUCCGGGACGGUACCUCUGAAGGAAGGAUCGGCUAACUACGUGCCAGCAGCCGCGGUAAUACGUAGGAUCCGAGCGUUGUCCGGAAUUACUGGGCGUAAAGGGUGCGUAGGCGGCAAUGUGCGUCAGAGGUGAAAUCCACGGGCUUAACGUUGUGGGGUGCCUUUGAUACGGCAUAGCUUGAGUACGAGAGAGGUCGAUGGAAUUCCUGGUGUAGCAGUGAAAUGCGUAGAUAUCAGGAGGAACACCGGUGGCGAAGGCGGUCGGCUGGCUCGUAACUGACGCUGAGGCACG